CCGAGGCAGGCAGAUCAUGAGGUCAGGAGAUCGAGACCNGUAGAGACGGGGUUUCACCAUGGUCUCGAUCUCCUGACCUUGUGAUCCGCCCGCCUCGG
rnacentral:pre_miRNA from 1 species